GAGUUUGAUCCUGGCUCAGAUUGAACGCUGGCGGCAUGCCUUACACAUGCAAGUCGAACGGCAGCAUGAUCUAGCUUGCUAGAUUGAUGGCGAGUGGCGAACGGGUGAGUAAUACAUCGGAACGUGCCCUGUAGUGGGGGAUAACUAGUCGAAAGAUUAGCUAAUACCGCAUACGACCUGAGGGUGAAAGUGGGGGACCGCAAGGCCUCAUGCUAUAGGAGCGGCCGAUGUCUGAUUAGCUAGUUGGUGGGUAAAGGCCCACCAAGGCGACGAUCAGUAGCUGGUCUGAGAGGACGAUCAGCCACACUGGGACUGAGACACGGCCCAGACCCCUACGGGAGGCAGCAGUGGGGAAUUUGGACAAUGGGCGAAAGCCUGAUCCAGCAAUGCCGCGUGUGUGAAGAAGGCCUUCGGUU
rnacentral:rRNA from 1 species